rnacentral:lncRNA from 1 species
AAAAGGUGAUAUAUGUCUACUGUCUAGGAUUGAUUUUCAUUAAAUCUAUGAAGGUUAUGCACCACCUCUCAAAAUUAUUUAGAAAGAUACUUUAAGAGACUAAGCUUGUAAAGAUGAAGACAUGCAUGAAGAUAGUUAAAAGAUGGGCACAUAAUGUAUAAAUAGACUACUAGAGAUAAAGUCUUUCACAUCGAAAAUUCGAAAAAGCUUUUAAAUAUAUAAAAGAGAUGAGUUAAUCAACUUAUCACCAAUUGAUUUUAAGUUGAAAGCUCAUCUAGCUUAUAGCUUACAUGGUAUCAGAAUCUGGUUCAUACUGUCCAAC